rnacentral:lncRNA from 1 species
AACUAAAGUGUGUAGUAAAUCCACAGCAGCAUCUCGUACUCCCUGCAAUGCAUAGAAAAUCAUGCUAUCAUUCCAAGUGGAAAACAUUUUCUGUUAUAGCAGGCCAAAAUGAGAAAGACUUCUUGCCUCAACUGCUGGUGCAGCACCCCAUUGUACACCACUCUCCAACAAAUAGUUUACAGCAGCUGUUCUGAACAAAUUUCUCUGACAAAAUAUUUCCAAAAAAAAAGAAAAUUUACGAAUCAUCCAAUCAGGGACAAGGCAAAGUUUAAGAGCAAUUCUCUAUUCUUUUAGAAAAAUCUUCUCCAAUACAAGCACAAAAUAUUAAUAUCUUGUUGUCAACUUUUGGUUUUUUCAGGUUAAACCUCCCAAUUAUUGAGGAUCAAGUCAUCAGGGGUCCAGGAGGGGGGGGGGGGGGUUAAUUGUUCCUUGAGGAUACUGAUAAAAGACACAUUGCUUAGGGAAAAAAGAAGUAAAAGGACAUGAUAAUUAGGAGAAUACUAAAAGGGGACUGACACUUUUUUAAGCGACAAUAGGGAGCAUAAACUUUUUAUAGUUAUGAAACCAAGAAUGUUCUUAAAUCAUUUAUUUCAAAAGGCACAGGUAUCUCUGAUAACAACUAACAAUGUGUGCAUCUAGCAUAGUGCUUUGUGCACCAUUCAUAUACUUGGAAUUCUUACAGACAUGUACCUUAAUUUACUAUUAUUUCUUUAAGAGUUCUCGAUAACGAUAACAAGUGGAAACCAUAAUGAAACAAAGCAAAAGGAUAUCCAUUACAGAUGAAUACCUUUGCCAAAGUAUACUGCUCAAGAACAUUCUCUUCAAACCCAGAGAAAGAUGCAAUGAGAUCUUGCAUAUCAGCGUCCUCUUCAUCCUUGCCCCUACGGUAGCACAGCACUUUAGUAUCAGUGUUAGCAAAGGUUAAAAACGUAGAAAAACGCCAAGUAUCUUCUACGGCUUUUUACAUCACACCCUUUAAUGUGCGACCCUUCCUCGGAACCUGCAUAAACAUGGAAUGCAUUGUGCACUGGCCUACUGUCACUCAUAUCUUUUACGGUUUUAUUAAGUACAAAGCGAGAGCUGAGCAAACAAAAAAAGUAGAAAAGAAACAAAGCUAUAUACAUAUUGCGUCGUCCAGGAAAAAGUAACUAUGAAUACAAAUAAUUCUAUGGAAACAGAAAAUAUGGAGUGCAAAUUCAGUGACGUGAUGUGUGAGAGGAGGUGGACUUGAAGAUCAUUAUGCAAGUCAUACUCAACAGAGGAAUUUUCAAGUCUAUUGUGUCUAUAAUCCAAAAAAACCGGGGAGAUUGACGAUGAUGUCACACAUCGUAUUGGAGCAGGGGUGGGCAAAAUGGAGGCCCACAGCCGAGGUGUUGUGAGAUAAGAAUGUGUCACCAAGUGAUAAAGGUAAGCUCGUUAGACUCGCAUUGUCGUAUGUGGCAGAGCGUUGGCUAGUAAGAACGCACAUGUUCAGAAUAUGAAGGUACCGGAGAUGAGGAUGCUCAUUUGGAUGUGUAGGUAUACUAGGAGAGACAAGAUUACGAAUGGAGUGAUUCAGGACAAGGUAGUAAUGGCCUCCAUGGAGGCCAAGAUGAGGGAAACGAGGCUGAGAUGAUUCGGGCAUAUGAAGAGGAGGUGCACGGAUGCACCGGCAAGGAGAUGUGAGAGGUUGGCUACAACUGGUUUUAGAAAAGGUAGAGGUAGGCCGAGGAAGAACUGAGGGUGGUGAUUAGACAAAACAUGACAUAUCUUCAGCUUACUGAUGACAUAGCCCUAUAUAGGAAGGUCUGGAGAUUGAGGAUAAGGAUAAAGGGUAAAAGUACCAGAAUAUUUCAUAACUUUAUGUGGCAUAGAUAGGGGGCUAGUCUUCUCUUCUCAUCUUCUCCUUAUUUAGUAGUACUAUUUAGUAUCCACAUAGUAUCUUAUUCUUAAUCUUACGACUACUUUUUUUUAUCUCUCCCCGGAGCUCCCACCUUUUUUUCUCCCUUGAUAACUCAAACCCACAACCUCAGAGUUGGAGGUGGAGAGUGUUACCAUUUGAGUGAUCCCCUCUUUGCUCCAUUUGCUUUGUGUAUUGCUAAUUUGUUGUCGCUAUUUUUAUUUUGAUUCUGAUUUGAUUUUACUUCUUUUGAGCUAAGGAUUUAUCGGAAACAUCCUCUCUACGAAAAAAAGAAAAAAUAGGAAUAAGGUUUGAGUACAUCUUAGCCUCCCCAACCCCCACUGGCGGGACUACUCUCGGUAUGUAAUUGUAGUACAAAUAGUUCUCUAGAUCAAAGGAUUGAAAAACUUAAUAAAUUGGGAUAUCUGAAGAAAACCAUGUCAGCCAAUUUCAAUAAUCAUUUGAAUUUAUGAUAAAGAGUACAGAUAAGGGACUAGUUAAGAUUUUUUAGUGUCUAAUUUCCUAUCCAUACCCACUCAAAUAAUCCAAAAAUCCGUAUAGUACUUUCUAAUUUCCCUUUUAUUGUUUACUGUUGUUCAUUUAUGGAUGAGAGCCAAGAACAUAGAGGUACAAUGCAGUGCCUGUGCUAAAGCGCUGCUUGAGCAAGCUAUGUGCCUAGACUGCAUUGCACCAGCUCUCAAGAAUGAAGAGCAUCUCAGGUGGGGAUCAAAGACAGUAGAUGGUAUGAUGUUAGGUAGCUCGACAAAAUGAUUUUCUGUCGAAGUCUCUAAAGAUGAGAUGACUGCAAAAAAGAAAUAUGCAAGUGAACAUUUUGGGUCCUAAUGGCGCAUCGCUACUUCUUUGUUCAGAGACAUCUUUCAAAUAUCUGGAAAUAGAAAAAGUUUUCCAACUAAAAUGUUAAGAGAUAACCCUUUCAAAAAGACAAUAGUUUCGGUGUUAUCUUACAGAAAGUAGAAAAGGUUCGGAAAACAAACAAACUCCUAUUGCCCAAUCAACCUGGACGUAGUUCUGCAACACAUUGAUAUAACGAAGUACCCUUAAUCCUGUCAACCAUUAUUGAGUGGAUUGUUCGCAAUGUUUCUGACAUUAUAUUCGACGAAGAAAUCAUAUGAAGUGGACAAGCUAUACAGUACUAGAGAGCUACUUGUACUGCUUAACUUGAUUUAAAAGCUAUAAAGUACUCGAGAGCUAUUAUUGUACCUCGACUGCUGCCAAGUUCGUCUGUACUUGCUGUACAAUUCAUGAGCAAGUUCAUCUUUGAAAUAUCCAAUAUUACUUACGACCAUCAGCAACUGUCGAUGUGGAUUAACAAUACUUCCUGGAAGAGGAUCCGAUGAUUUAUCUUCUGGUUCAGCAUGUCCAUUUUGAAAAUGUGCACUCUCUCUGUCAUGUUCAUUCAGAAGCUGAUUGCCAGUGUGGCCCAGCUGGCCUAAUUAGAGUAUAAAAUUUUGUAUUAUAUUCCAAACUCUAUCAGCUACUAUAAUGCUGAGGUAUCAACUGCUUUACAUACCGGCAAAAUUAAGCAAACAGUUCAAAAAGGCAAGUCUAACAGAUUCCUGAAUUUCUUGAAGAAGCAAGAAUAUGUCCUCUAACUUCAUAGCCUCAUUCCUCAAAGACUGGAUCAAUCUGGAAAGAAUAAAAAUACAGAAACGAGUGUGCAAUAAUCGACCAAAUGUUCGUACAUUUUGCAAAAUUUAUUCCGAGUAACAGUUUCAAGUCUAUUUCCUUGAGGCCUAUAUUAAGUGCUCAAGCAACUUAAGAAGACAAGAGUCACUACAUCUUACUAACAAGAAAAUUAUGUAUCUGCUAAGAUAGAGCCAGAAAAAGAUCUUUGGUGUAUAAUCCUGCAUAAAUGUUCCGGUACAUAGACCAAAUAAUACAAUGCAAGCAGAAGUUCCUAAAUUCAUGGAGAUAUAGAACAACAUAUGAGUCAUCGUGUUUUCAUAUUCGUGUUUUGAGUCUUCAAUAAUUUCAUAUCGGAUUUGGCCUUAUGGACGAAUAUGUAAAGCAAUAUCAAUGAGACUUCCCAAUAUAAUGCUAAGAGUAGCUAGGAUUUCCAUAAGAAGAUGCCAUUCAAAAUUGCUUCACUUAUAAAACAUUCAAGGAGGAGUUGUCGCAUAACUAGUUACAAUAAGUAUCACCAAACCACAGUACAAUUAAAAUCAAAUCCCCCUUACUUAGUAUGUCUGGACAAGAGCAUGUAUCAAUAGCACUGAGGAAACACGAAAGUCUAACUUUAACAUAUACAUUUCUUCGCGAGCCUAUGUAUACUUGAAUCUCUCUUGAUAGCUUCACAUACACAUGCAUUUGGAUAACGUAUUCUAUAUUUAAAAUAGUUGAUGCUAAACUAAACGACUUCCUGGCAAACAUUAAAGGCAAAUUUUACAAGUAUUUUGAGAAUUGAAAAGAAUGUACCUACAGAAAAAUCCUUCAGCUUACCGAGAUAUGUAGCAGGAGGGUUAGAUCACAGGUACAGAUAUGUUCAAAUACACAUACAGCAUUUUGCGACAUAUAUAACUUACGUAUUGAUCUGAUCCAUUGCAAAUGUGAUAAUUGAACGGAAAGCCAGAGGCAAGGAAGAAAUUGUAUAUGGAGAUCUGUUCCUCUCUAAGAUAGAUACUGGGAUCCAGGUCUCAUCUUUUGUUAUCUUCUCAGUUGUAGUACGCAUCCAAGAACAGAGCCUCAAUACAUUGAUUUUUGUGACCUCAGACUGAAGUGUGCGCAAUGCCGUAACUGUUAAUCACCGGAGAUAUCACUUGGAAACAUUUCACAGACAAUAGCAUAUGUCAACUUAGAAAAGAAACAUACCAGCAACUGGAGGUGCUGAUUCUUUGGCUUCAAAAGCACAACAUGCUUUAGAUAUCUCUUUUAUGGCAUCACUCAUGUAUGGGCAAAGAAUAUUUGAUUCUUCAAGAUCUCGAAAUGUGUUCUGAACCUGUGAGUAAUUUCAACAUUCAAUGAUGUACGUUAGGAAGAAGCAUGAUACAUAUUAAAUCAUAAAAGCUUAUCCGAUCUACUAGAAAAAGCUCCAUAUCAAUUCUGGAAUCAUCGUGAGAAUUUAUAUUUUGCAGGAAAGUCAUUUCUAACUACCCCACUGUCUUUAUCUUUCGAUGAGAUCUAAGCUAGUCUAUUUUAAUAUGGAUUGUGAUAGUCGGAUUCUCUUCUGAAUUAGGCAGUGGUUAAACUGGUUGUUUGGCAAUAAUGAUACUGUUCGUCUCAACAGAAAGUGAUACAAAAGGUAAAAUAUAAAGACCAAUUUUAGAGGAAGCAUUUACCUCAGAUCCAUAAGCUGAUAAAGUACUCUGCAACAUCCCAGCAACUUCAUCAAGAGAAUGACUACAGUACUUUCCAUCUCCUACUUUUUCUUCAGUUCUCUUUGCAGAGGCAUUGACAUUUGAAUCAGAAGACACCUGGGAUGCCUAUUUACAAGAAAAGAACCAUUAAAUCAAGAGUAAGAAAAUGGAAGCAAAUUUCAAUGGAAAAGACUGCAAAACUAAUGCGCAUCCACCCAAAAUUGGAGAAGCAACAAAUUUCUCUAGUAACGAGAAAAAAAUGGCAAUAACUAGAUCUAUCCCCAGGAACAUACCACUUGAAGUUUCCAAGCAUUACAAGAAGAAUGAAAGUGAAACUAUAAUUAAAAGGAACAAGAUAGAUGGCCAUCACAGAUGGACACAGCCAAAAAUCAGUGAGGCAGAUUUCACCUAUCUAAUCACGGAUGCUUAUUUUCAUAGUGCCAAGAAUCCCAAAAGUUGAGGUCCGUGAGUGUGCUAUUUCACAGUACUACCAACACAAAAAGUUGCAGAAAAGUAACGACACUGAAAAAUAAAUGGGUAAUGUUGAGAAUACUAUGGAAUUUACUGUCUACAGGGUUGUUUUGCAUCAAUAAAAUGCUCGGGAGAUGCAAGUUAAAUUUUAUAUGCUAAAUCAACUUCACAAACAUGUGAGACCCGGACAAGAAUCACCUAUGAUGAACUGUAGCAAAAAUCAAGGAACCUUUAUUUGUAUCCAGACUGAGUUACCUAAUGUGAUUGGAUUAUAUUUUACAUUCCCUGUCGAUAUACUUAUUGUAGAAGCAACAAAAUUUCAUAGCAUUAUGCUUCGACUGGCCUGUGUUAACGACCAUCAUUCAGAUACUUAUCCUUUUCAUCAAACCUCCAAGUAUAUAAUAUUAUAAAAAUCACAAUGUCUAUCUAAAAUGCCCACAACAUCUAAACAUUUAAUUUAAUACACCACAAUAACAUUUUAAAGUACAACCAAUUGGCAGUGAAAAAUAAAAAUUAAAAAAAAAUAAAAUAAAAUAUAUAUAUAUAUAUAUAUAUAUAUAUAUAUAUAUUUAUAUAUAUAUAUAUAUAUAUUCAUUUUCAUGCUAUACCACAAUUGUUUUAUCCUCUUCAUUUUUGGGCAAAAUGUUCCCUACCAACUUUAUGCGUCUUUCCGUGAGUGCUUUACAAUCUCCAUUUUCAUUUAUCAUCCUUUUAUUUAUCUGUUAAUCCAAAUCGCAUGUCCAAACAAAACUUCAACUUCAUCUCAUCAUUUCAUUUUGUAUGACCAAACGGGCUGUUAAUAUCUAAUUUCUAGUCUUAGAAUAUAUGGACCGAGGAUAAGAGAGUCUCAUUACCUUUGCAAAUUUCCCACUGAACACUGAAACAGAAACUUUCCAGAAGGCAGGUACAUGAUGGAUAACAACAGCAGUCAAUCUACGUAUAUAUUUUCCUCUAAAAGCAUCACCUUGUUCACCGGUCAUCACUAACAGUUCCGAAUCAAUGUCUGACUGACAAUCAUUUAUAACAUUUAAUGAGGAUCAUUAAUAAGUAGACAAAUUGAUAACCACAACAGAUUUCUUAUUACAGACAGUAAUGCUUACGGAAUGAUUCAGAUCUUGCUGAAUUUGCCUCCAUUUUGCAUCAUAUGAAGCUUUGGCUCUCAUCUCAUUCUGUAAAUUCUCCAUCCUAGCUUCAUGAUCUGAAGAACAUUUCUCAAGCAAGCCUCGAAUUCUGUGAUUCUGAAAAAUAGCAUAAUUACAUCCAACACUUUUUCCUAUGGUAGAUAAGUCAGAUUCAAAUGUCAUUCAUAAAGCUAGAUAUCAUUUGCCACAUCCAUAAAGGGAGACAUUAUCUGAGGGGUCCAAACCAAACACCUUCCAGCAAAGGGUAUUGGAUCUUGCGGGGGCAGAGCGCCCCCACACCCCUCUAAUCCACCUAAGCAUAAUGUUAAUAUGUAAUUAAAAGGAUGAUAUUGGAUUUGGAUGCUUCACCUGUAUAUUUAAGUAGUGCCAUACAGGAUCUGAUUCAGGUUCCAACUCCAACAAGAGCCUCACUAUAUUUUCAAGCUACAAGAAGCAUUAAGUAAUCACACAUAAGUAAAAAGUGAAGUUUGAAAUCUCAAAAAGUUUUGAUAACUAAAAUAUGAGUAGAACUGUCAGAAUUUAAAAGGUUGAACCCAACGCCAAGGUAUGUAGAGUCAAGCCAAAUGGAGAUGAAGACUGUGACUGAAUCAAUUUUAUAAGAACAAUGAUAAUAUCAAAGUGUUUGGUGAAUACUGAGAUCUGACUCACCUUAACACAAGCAGGACAACAACAACAAUAACAACAAACCCAGUGUGAUCCCACAAGUGAGGAACACAAGCAAGACAAAGAUACAGAAUUACUAAAUCUUCCAUCAGGUAUAAGUGGAAUAUGCUACAAUUUAUUGGCAUCCCCGGGGACUGCAAAGAUAGAUUUAUAGUCCAGUAAGUAUUUUCCUCUAUCUAGUACCGCAUGCCCCACAAUAUUAGCAGAUAAUCAGAAGUGUUUUACAUCUAAAACACACUCUUGGCUGAGAAGCAAGAUGAUACAUUUGAUUCUGGAUGGACAUCAAAAACCUUUAGAAGUAACUGAACUAGGAUGAAAAGGAAGCCAACAUGUCAAAAAGGAAGAGUAAACACCACAUAAUCCGUUGUGAUUGCAACCAACUUCAUCCAGCAUUGUUCUUAAAUAAUCUCUUCUUGCAUAGUUCUUUGAGUAGAUAUAUCUUAUCAAGGACACUUUUAAAUGGAUUUGCAUCCAAUGUAAAAACAACAUACUUAUGGGCUCAGAAUUGACAUUUGAUAGAUGAUAUUGGUCCAUGUAAUGUGCACUAACAAAUAAGAUAGCAGGUAAUAGGUAAAGAAACUGAGUUUACUUUGUUGCAUCCUGAAUGUUAUUAAACUUAAGCAACCUUUCCGUGAGAAUGAGGAGUCAUCUCUAAGAAGCUCUUGGUAGAUUUAUAGAACCUAUUUUCCUCUUCAUUCUUCCUCCUUUUGACUUCCUUCUCUGCAACAAUUCAUGUAUUUUUUUAAGAACUAGUAACGUCAUAUUAUCUCAGCAUUAAGGACAUGCUGGCAACCUGAAAGAAUUACAAACUAGAAGAAAUAUUACAAGGAACCUAAAAGAUCUAGUAUCUGUUCAACUUCAUCUAUACAUUCCUCUUUACACCAAAAUAAAAGGGAUAUAAUACAUUCUAUUUAACUUUACGAAUGGAACUAAACCUAUCUGCAGAACAUCUCUAAUUCCUCUCUCUCCACACUAUCCACCAUAUGCAUGUCGGGAUUCCAAUCCACUAUUUCUUUUGGCUCUUGGUCCCACCCCUCCUAAUCAAACAGCUCAAUAAAUCAGCAAUAUUGUUCUGGCAUUGUCCAGUUUGUUUCUGCGGGACUUAGAAAUAUUGACCGAUCCUUGAAGUUAAUUUGCAAUGCAAGAACAGGCGGUUGUUAAGUUUCUUCUUCUUCGUUACAAAAAGAACAUCUGGAAACUAUUUGAGACCCCCUUCUUUUCAGCCUCACCUGUGUUAGACAUGCCUUCGUAGCCACCACCCAGGAAAAAAUAUUUAAUCUUAGUUGGUGCAACUUUUCCAGAUCUGCUCCCAUGGUCCUGUUUCCCCACCUGGUCACUCCCUCACCUCUUUUUUAUAUAAUCUGUUCACUGAGAAUUUGCCAUCAGUAUCAUGCCUCAACUGAUGGUAUCUGAAGUUGGAGAAGUUCCUUUGAAGGUGCUAACAUCUUGUAAUAGUUGAUCUAUUCUAUCCAUCUCCCCAUCACUCAAAUAUCUCCUAAGUUGAAUAUCACAUCCAUUUACGGACCAAGUUUCAACCACUGCAGCCUUAGGCUGUGUUGCUCCUCUCCAUAAUUGUUGCUGCACCCCUGUUGGAUUCACAAAAAUACACUACUUUUGGAGUAUCCAACACGCUCCUGUGACAUUUUUGAAGAGUCCGAACAGCAUAGGCCUCAGGGUUAGUGCACAAAGAAAAGAGAAAAAGGUGUUCUUCAAUGCCGCCUGGCCAUUCCAUUCAUCCAUCCAAAAAAUAUUUCUCUUAUCAUUUCCACCUUAUGAGUAACAUUCUUCGAGAGUUUGGUCCAAAGACCCCUUCUUGACCUCCAAACUGAAACUCCGUAAGUACUAGUGACAAUAUUGCACCAUGACCUGCUCUGCCCAAACUUGUUCUGAACAACCUCCUUCCACUGUUUCUCCACAGACACUUCAUCAUCAAACAUUCAUUCUGUACCCUCAGAUUCUGAUACCAAGACCAUUUGAGUUCUCGCUAAACUGUUGUCCAUCUAACUUAGUGCAUACCCUUACCUUCCUUGUCCCCAAGCCACAUAAAAUCCCUUCUCAGUUUGUCUAGCUUCUUGACCACUCUGGAAGGUAUUGAAAAUAAAGACAUAAUAUACGUUGGUUACAAAUCUAGUACUGCAUUUAUCACUGACAAUUUCAUAUAUUCUUUUUUGCCAACAGAAUAUUUAGAACUUCAUAUUAAAAAGUUACGAUUUGUUUGGAAACUAAAGACAGAAUAUGUUAAGGAGAUAAACUCGUCCUAAAAUUAAUUGUAGGAUUAGUUAUCCCUUAUCCUUCGUCCCAAAUGAGCCCUUAGAGAACCAACAUCCCACGAUUAUGUCAUGCAGCACUUUCCAUAUAUAGUACCUCCCAAAAAAAUAACUCAAGUUGGUAAAAUAACUAGAGGAUGACUUACGUUUGUCAGGUCAAUAUUAGGAUCUUCCAGAGACUUGUAAAGCAUGCCUUUAAACUCUUGUAUAACUUUUUCAACCUCCCCAACGACACGCUUCAAAAUUCCCACCUGAAGAAGACACAGAAAACAAUUUGUGACCAAGACAAAAGCAAAACCUUCGAAUAAUGAUGACAAAAAUAACAAAAAAGGCAGAAUCUAUAUGCAAAAAAGUAGAAAAACUAAACAAAGAAACUUAAGUAAUUAUCAGAAAGAUAACCUCAAAAGUGUCAAGCAUCACAAAAGUUGAGCACACAUUUUUACUACUAAUUCAAACUGAAGAUUUCAAAAGCAUGAAACUCGAUCAAGUAACGUUUUACCAUGUUAAUGCCUACCCAAAGAAUCUACAUUUCAAGGAGCAUAAAUAACCUGCACUAGUCAGAAAUAAGGGAGGCCUUAAAGCAUUUCUUUUAAAUAAGCAUGGAGUCAUUAAACAAGGCAAUGAGGACAUUUUGUUUCAUCUACAUUGAGGUGAAUACAGAUGGGUUAAGCAAAGAAAAGACAGUAAUUCCUAGCAUAUCGCAUUCACAUUUGCCAAAAUGUAUGUCAUAGGAAGGACCUCGCUAAAACUUACAAGUAACUCUAAAAUAGUUCUUGUAGUUAAAAUUUUGCUACCCAAAUUACUAGAGUUGAACAUUGUCAACAGCCAUGUACUAGUUUGGAGUAUACUACGUUACUGUGACCACUAGGAAUCUCCAAUUAAUUGAUUACUAAGACCAGGAAACAUAGGAAACCACACGCAGAGAGACGUGUACAUGCAUAGCUGCAAUAAAAUUUUGCAUAUUCUUGUGUAAGUAUACCUGUUUGCAGGAUUGAGAUCAAUUUAAAACAGUUUCAAACAGAAAGCAAAAUCCUUUACUGCAAGUGUAAAAGUCACAGAAUAACUAACUAAAUCUUGCAUACAUGAGAAGGCAGCACAAUUGAAUUUGCUUUCCUGUACUCCCUGACUGCCAGGUCAUAUUCACCCUUACUAAUGCUUUCACGAAUGGCACUGGGUAAGUUAAACAAUGUUCGGAACCUCUGAAUCGUUCCUUGAACAGAUCUUAUCUUCUCAGCUUGAGCCUACACGGAAAUGUUUCUAUUUGUUACAUACUAACAACAAAAGAAGAGUAAAAAAAAUCCACAUCUUACAAUAAUCAACUUCACUAAAUGGAUCGAACUAAAAAAUACAGCAUCACGUCCUAUCUACCUGUCUUUCAAAUAGUGACUCAAAAGCACGGUUAGCAAUUGAAUUGACUCCUUGCAUACAAUCAUAUAAGUGUUUAGUUCCAGAACCUUCAGGGUCUUCCUCAAUGCGUCUCAACUUUGAUUCAAUAUCUAUAGCAAAAGCAUCAAACUCAAUUAGAUCUUCCGAUGAUAAAUCAAAGUAAGAUGAGAACUCCAUCCCAAACAAGAUGUGAAGCUAACCAUCAAUCGUAGUUUUGCAAGAUACAAAGCAAUCAAAAUUCUCUUUGACCAAUUGUUUUUUCUGCUGCAUACGUCCUUUAAGAUCAGUCUUCAAAGAAACAGCACCUCCCUCUAAGUCUGCUGCACCAGUAUCUUGGUGGAUUCGGGAUAUAAACAAUUUUGAGUCAAACUUCUCAGAAAAAUAAUUCAACCCCUCUGCAAAAUUGACACAAGAUCUUGUAAAUAAAAAAUCAGUUGAUUAGAAUCAAACAUAACUCGCCUGAGAUUGAGAAACUAUAGAAGGAAAUCAUAUUUAAAAAGUGAAAAUAGGAAACAAGUAGUCAAUCAACAAGAUCCUGUAAGUUCUCGGGCUUUAAGCAGUGAGAGAGAAACGACGUGUAUGAUUUACAGAAAUUAGAAAAAUCACUUAACAUAUGAGAAUUCAGUAUUUAUGACAUCAAACUUCGAUGAAACUAUUAAUUUAGCAUCCAAUAUACAAUAAUGCCUACAUUAACACAACAGCUCAAAUGUAAACAUCAUUAAGAUGUAAUUCUAACUAGGCCACUGAGAUAUAACUCCAGCCCUUAGUUUUCAAUAGUCACCCUUUAAAAGAACUGAUUUGCAGUAUUUAAUUGCAAUAGAAAAUGUACUAAGGGAAUAUAUAAAAGAAGCGUAGAAUCAGAAGUAACAGCAGAAGAAGGCUUGCAUGAAAGAAGAAGAAGAAGAAAGAGUCAUUGUCUGAAGAAGAAGAAAAAGAGGACCAAAGAAGUAAAUCAAAAGUGAAGCAACCUCUCUCUUUCUCUUCUUUUUUCCCCCUCAUUUGAGCUUAGAUCCGAAAGAAAUGGUAGAUUCUCGCAUAGAUCACUUGGCACUUCACUAUCUGAAGCACAUUACUUUUCUCAUGAAGUGACAGCCCCUGGCUUCACAUUACUCUGUCGCUUUAAGUGAAAAAACAAUGUCAUUUAACAGUGCCUAAUACCCCAAAGUAAAACAACAGGACAAACCAUUGCUUGGUUUGUGGGAUACUGAUGGGAUAAGGAGAAUAAAAAUAGUAUGCCUAGAACUUGUACAUCACAAAUCUUAUUAUUUUGGUAAUGUUCAAAAUUUUAUACAUAAUCAUAUCUCAUGAUCACUACCAUCAAACUAAACAGUGCAUUCAGAUUUUUUUACUACUCUAGAAUGAUAUAGACCAAUCUUCAAUUUCAACUGAGGUUGUUCAAUACUUCAUUAGAUUUAAAAAUUGUAUUUUUUCUCUAAAUCAAUUACAGAAUAUUUCAUCACAUUUCACAAGGGACACUCUGAUAUUUGUGUUUUAACCUUCAACCUAAGUAAUCAAAGCUCAUUUCAAGGUUAGGGUAAGAUGGGGAUUCACCAUGACUGCAACAUCUUAUAAGUCCAGAGCUAUCUCUAUUAAGAAGCUCCUUCCCACAUAUGAUCGAUAGAAGAAACCUGUUUGGACUUCCAAUAUGAAGGCAGGUGUUAAUUUCCUUCUCUUUUGUUUUCCUUUUUUGGUCUGUGGGGGGUGGACCUCUAAGGAAUAGCUUCAGCAGUUUCUUCAGUCAAAGUCAAAGCAUAGUUCUAGUGCAAGUCCUGCAUUUCUGUCCACCGCCAAUGAUAUUCUCAAGAGCUGCACGCAUCACCAAGGGAUCUCCCCACCAACAAACUGAGGAAAUAGUAUAAUCAGAAAAUCAUCCUGCUGUAGUCACCAGUUGUUAGGCAUGUCUAGUAAUCUAAAUGCCUACUUCGUACGCAUACAAAGUGCACUACAGCAGCACCCCCAGGCCCCAUGCUUUUUUCUCUACCACAAAAUGAGGAAUGAAAUAUCUUUGUCUUAAUCUGCUUAGGAGCCUAAACAUUCACAUGCCUUACCAUGUGAACUUGAGAUCAUAAUAUACGUACAAGCACUACAGAGGGAGCACAGCUACAGGCCUAAAGGAUAAUGCAAUAAAACAAGUUCACUCAACUGUACUAAGAGUAAGUACCCACAGUUGAAUCCAGAAGCAUCCAAUCGCUGUAGGUACAUAAAGUGUUAUAUCAUCCACCAUACAAAGUGCAUUAUGAACAAUUUUUUUGUCAUGCAAAUUCAUCUCAAAAUUUCCAUUGCAUAGCACAUCCAAUUCAAGAUGUUAAUAGAAAGAGGCUGAUGAUAAGGUACUUUCUGAGGGAAUACUCAUGAAUAAGGGAAGAGAAGGAAGCCCUAACACAAUGAAGUAAUUUGGUGACAGAAUUAAGUACCGCGAGUUUUGGGGUCCAAAUCGCCUACAGUUGGGGAACUUGAUGAAUGCUCACUGAUCAUCCUUAAUGUUCUAUUGUCAACUAUCCUGUAAGUACAAAGAAGCCUCCCAUUUAGCACAAGAAAUUACCAGUGAACAAUAUGAAAUGCAUAAAAAGUAAGAUGAUAGUAAGUACCCCAAUCUUAGAGGAUCUAUGCAUUCCAUGCCACGAGGGAAAGACUGCAAACUCUGAAGUGCCUUCUUUGCCAAUGCCAUCUUCUCCUCCUCAGCCUUGAUUUGAGUGGCUGGAAUUGCUCUAGCCUCCCUCAUGUCCCGAACAUGACGUCUUAGCUGAAAAAGUUUUGAUCUUUUAAGUUCAGCAUGUAUCCGAGAAUGCUUUAAACACAACUAGCCAAGAAGAAAAAUUUUCUGCACACAUUUUCAUUAACAAUGAUAAAGAAGACUAUUUAUCCACUUCCACAUAGAAUGUAAUUUGAAAUUCAUAUAACGGACCUCACAAUAUAAAACUGACUCCUUUAAAUGAACAACUCUCAAAUGUAUAUCAUACAAAGAGUAAUCUCUGAUUUUGUGUGUUUUGGACUUGCAUUUUUUUGGGGAUUUUGAAAAUAUUUAUCAAAUUUCACAUUUAAACAGAUAUUUAACAUACCUCAUCUUCAUCAACGCGUUUCCAGCAAUCAGGUUCACCACCUUGCCAGUGUGCGUCAUCGUCCUUCCCACCUUUCGGAGCCCUUCUUUUCGAGGCACCUUUACUUUCCUUCUUCGAGGAUCCGUGAUCAUCAUCUCCAGACGAAAUGCUGAGAAUCUCUAAAUCCGAAUCAUCUUCUUCCUCUUCCACUCCCUUCCUAUGCUUCUGUUGCACUUUUCGAUUCGGCGUCGCGUCUAUACUUCCCACUCUUCUUCCGCUGCUCCUCGAGUUCGGCUUCGGCUUCGGCGGUGGCUCUGACGGCUUCUUACCAGUUGAUUGCUCCUGCAAUGCCAUUUGUAAAAGCUCAUCUUCAUCACUGUCGCUUGACAUUUUUUCUCAGUAUGUGAAUUUGAAUUCUGCGAUUUGUGAAAAUUGAAGAGGGAAUUUGGAUAUGCCAUACCGAAACAAGUAUGAAAAAUCGCAAUUUUUGUAGUUUGAUCCUCUUUUUUAGAGCAAAAAGAAAAGACCUUUUCCAUGGAGUAUCCAACUUUCAAAUACUACUAAUAUUUGGGAUAAAGAUUUUGUACACGUCAUCUUUUUUUUUAGACAAUAAAUGUUAUUUUUUGAAGAAAAUAUUUUUAAAUUUGGCGUGAAUACCUAACUUAGCCGGUGAGGUACACAUGCACCCGUUAAUUUUGAAUAUGUAUAUAUGUAUAUUUAUCUCGAAAAAUUGACAAAAAUUACGAUAUAAUUAACAGUGCUCUCAUAAGGAGCAUAGGAGUGUUCUUGUGAAAAAAGAGGGGACAAUUGUAGGGUUGUGUAUCAGUCAGUUUAGUUCGAUUUUGAAGUUUAUCGAAUUAACUUGUUGAUUAUCGAUUUGUAAAGAUGUUAAAUCGUUAUAGUACCAUUAAGAUAUUGACUUAUUGGUUAUUGGUUUAUCGAUUUUUUAUCGUUAUCAAUUUAAUUAUCGAUUUAACCGUUAAAAUUUGACAUAAAAAAUAUAAAUUGAAAAUCACUUAGAAACAAAGUGACAAACCAAAUAAGUCAUGCACAUGAGUUCACAAGUUACAUCUUGUGAAAAACAUAACAUUUUUACAUAGUAGAAUAACUAAAUAGUUGAGACAACAAAAACUAAAAGUAGGAAACUAAACUCUAAGUCAAGAACUUUAUAUACAAAAUAGUAUAAAUAUAAUUAUUUAAUUUACUAUUGGAUUAUCGAUUAAUCCGUUAAAAAAAUAUAAUCAAAAUCAUUGUUGAAACCGCUAAACAAUAACUUCUUUUUAGUUCAGAUUAUCAAAUUUGGUUUGAUUUUAAACCACUCAAACCAAGACUCGGGAGAUAUCUUUAAUAUUUUUCUCUUAUUUCAACGGUCUGUUGCUGAUUUUAAAUCAAAAGAGUAACAAGACUUUGGUCUUUUAAGUCUUAGAUACCGCAAACGGAUUGAUAAGUUCAUUCUAAUUUUUUAUAUAUAUUUAAUUAAAUAUAUUUAACCUUCGAUUAGCACAAAUACAUAUAUUAAUUCAACUUAUGUAGGAAACAUAUUAUAUUCGAGCUAUUUUCAAAGCUAUAUUAGUGUCGAAUACAGUAAAAAUAAUAUAAGCUUGAGAAAUAUAUGAGUUAUUAAAUGGUGAAAUCGUUAAUAAUUAUAGUAAUUUUGCAUUUUCACAAGUUAAAAAAAUAUAUCUAUAGUUUAAUUAACUAAAACAUAGAUCAUCAUCAUUUUGGAAAUAACUAAAUAAUUACAUGCACACAGAAUACAAUUUUUUUUUAAGAUUGCUCAUUUAUAUGCAGGUAUUAUUAUCACAGUAGCCAACAAGCUAAUGUGGAACAUACAUUUGUAGUCAUAAUUUUAUGAUUUUGUGACUUAUAACAACCAGCAAAUUUGCUAUAUUUCAACAAAUUAGCAAUAAGCAUCAACAAGAAUUGUAAAAUAAGAUAAUGAAUGUAAAUGUACAUUCAUUAGUUUUUCUCUUCAGCAGCAUAAAGCCUUUUGAUCUCCUCCACAUCAUCGUAACUACCAAGGAAUAUUGGCGCCCUUUCGUGUAUCUUCGUAGGAACUAAGUCCAGUGCCUGCAUAACAUGGUCGAUCAGAGUUCAUAUAGUCAACCCCAACUUGUUUUGGACUAAAAACGUAGUUGUUGGUUUCAUGUUUUCACUAUGAGAAAUUCUUUGGCAACGACUAGAAGUUGAACCAAACAAACUCGAAGUUACUAUUUCAUUAGUGUAACUACAAAUUCAGAUAUCUUACCCGCUCCUUUCCAGUAAAUGCUUGACCUCCUGCUUGUUCCAUCAGAAAUGACAUGGGAAAUACUUCAUAGAGAACCCUGUUUCGUACGAUUUUUCAUAAGUAACAUUUCAGAAAAUUAUGGUUGACAAGUUUCUUCAUGACUCGGAAGAUGUUCAUAACUUACCGUAGCUUCCCAUUGGGGCUUUUCUUAUCAGCUGGGUACAAAAAGAUACCUCCGUAGAGUAAUGUACGAUGAACAUCAGCUACCAUGCUGCACGUUACAGUCCAUAAUCACGUAAAAUGAGGUGUUCUUUUACAUCAGGUAACAUCUUUAACAUACAUCUAACGAAAUGAUUCUUAUAAGAGCUGUGAGAUGGUCACUAAGUGAUUCUUAUCAUGCUAUUCGCGUUAGCAAUAGAUGAUUCGCAAGAAGUGUUUCAUCUCUAUUUCUACGUACAUCACACAUAAGAAACUAAGCAAUUUAACACUUUAAAAUCUCACACUAUACACAGCUCAAGUAUACCUUCCGAUAUAUCUUAAAGAUUUGGGUGAAGAACCAUCCGUGGGGAACUUGCAGCUCUCCACGUAUCUGAAAUUUGAAGAAGAGUAAAGACAUCAUAGAAACUGGAAAAUGUAUAUCAUUAAAUUCAUUAAACAUACUUAGAUGUUGGACCAUCCCAGUUCUUGGCAUUUCCUUCAUUCACUGAAUAAAUCUUUCCUUUCUUCGGAAUCUGCAUGUGGGAAGCAAUGUAAUGUAACAAAAAGAAGCAUCAAUCUAAAUAGAAUAAACAAACAAAUAGAAAACCAUAAAUUGGAAUCUUGAUACGCAGAAGACAAUGUUUACAAAAGCUAGACAAAGAGGUUGAUACGUGUGCACUUUGAAUAGAAGUAAAUAAAGCUGAGUAAUUACCUUGAUAUCUGGAUGAGUUAAGAUGAACUCGCCUAAAGAGGGGUCAAGUGUAAAACCAUUAACACCUUUUCCAGUGCUCAAGACAAGCUGCAAACAACCGAGCCCGAAAAAGAUAUUGUCACUGGUACUCGUGAUUUACACUUGGAAACAUUUUUCAAUAAGAAUCGUAUAAUAAUUCGUAAAGUUUUUGGAUCUCAAGUCUUGCCAAUGUAAGGCAAUAUACAUACCGUACAAGAACUUCCAUACAUGCAGUAUCCAGCAGCUAACAUAUUCUUUCCAGGUUGCAAGACAUCAUCUAGUGUUGGUUCAUGAACAUCUUUCAUCAUGUAAAUCCCAAAGAUCUGGAUAAAACAGAUGCAUUUUAUCAUCGUGAUAUCACGUAAUAGGUAAAAGUCAUCGUAGUUAAAAGCCUGUGAAUGAAAAAUUAAUAGCUCAAAGUGGAAUGAUACCGUUCCAAUAGAAACACCACAAUCAAUGUUGGAAGAUCCAUCCAGAGGAUCAAAAACCACACAGUACCUGUUUUAAAUAUUGUGUGAAAUGCAGUCAUAUCAAUGAAAACAACUUAGUUCAUAAAAGUUGGGAAAACUAUGAAGAGCUACAGUACGUACUUUCCACGCUUAGAUGGCUCUACGAAAGUAGCUUCUUCGUCUUCUUCAGACACGAGAAUGCACUGUAUAACUAGAAAUCUUUAAGAUCGCGACCACUAGGUAUUUUAGCACAGUACAUUAAAGAUGAAUAGGUCUUACUGUUCGACCACUGCUGACCAAAGCUUUGAUGAAAACUUCAUUUGAGAGUACAUCCAGUUUCUUUUGGUCUUCACCCUUCAAUUAGUAAUUAUAACAUUCCAAUAAGAAACAAAAAGGUAAACGCUUUAAAACUAUGCGUGCAAGCAUUUCUAACAACUUGCCUGCACAUUAGUCUCACCAGCAAGCCCAAGGAGUUUGGCCAAACCUGCCUGAAAAGAUGUAUCCACAGGUACAUACAUCAAUAAUGGAAGGAAGGAUAAAACAAAUUAACGUAAAACUAGUUUAAAGUGCACGCUUAAAGAGUCACUACAGCAAGGAUUCUUAUGCCUCUGAGCAUUUACAUAAUACCAAAGGAUAGUUCAGAGAGCAGCUCUAAAUCCAAUCCACCAGGAACUGCUGUAAAUUUGAAUAGAAAAGAAAGAAUGAAGAAAUGAAAUUCCUUCAUUCAACUAAGCACUACAAGGAAAACAAGUUCAUCAAAGAAAAUCCCAAAUUCUUGCGAUAAACUUGUAAAAUUCAAGCUUUAUCAUAAAAAAACAAAUUGACAACCGUAGUGUCCCGGUCAGCUUGCAUGCCUAAUACCUCCCACAAGCACAAGUACCGGGUAACUUUAUCGAUAAAAGCUUGGACAAAUGAGAAGAAAUCACCUACUUGCCUCCAUUGGGAAUUGAACUUAAGACCUCAGGAUUCUCAAUCUACUUCAUUGACCACACCGUUGGGUGCAAAUUCAAGCUUCAUUUUCACGCUAAUUAAGAGUAAUUCAUUUUAGCUUGACCCCAAAACUAACAGACAAUGAUGAGAAAACCUGAAACUGUAAACCGUAGCCAUACUUGGAUUACCAAUAAAAAUUAGAUCUCUCAAUAGCAAGAUUAUACAUUUUCAUGCAUAGCCUACGCAAAUCAAUCCGUUUCUAAAGCAAACCGUCAACUCAUCAUACACAAGAUAUUUUUUUAAUAACUAUUCCGUCCAGCCGCUUCCACGCACUAUAACUUUUCCACUUAUUACCUAUUAUCUCCCACCAGUACAGACAUCAUACACACAAGAUUAUCUUUUUACGACUAUUCUGUCCAGUUAGCUUGAACACACUUCGACAUGUAAUCUCCCACCAGCUCAGUCAUCAUAACAAGAUUAUCUCUUUUACGACUAUCCUAUCCUAGUAGCUCCGAUCAGCUUGCACAUACUUCAACUUUUCCACUUCAUUCAUGUUAUCUCCCACCAACACAUUAAUCAUACGCUAGAUCAUUUUUUUUAAUAAUUAUUCUAUUCAUCCAGUUUGUGUACACUAUUCAACUAUGUACCAACCCAAUCAUCAUACACAAGAUUAUCUAUUUUUAAUAACUAUCCUAUCCAUCCAAAAACCCAAAUAACAAAUAACAAUUAGAGACGAAGAACAUAACAUAUAAAUGAUAGGAUUAGGAAAUUGAGCAUGGAAACAAAUGUGAAACGAUUAAAACUGACCUUGUUAACUGCAGUACAAACAAAUUUGCAGCCAAGAACAAUAUGACUGAGCAAAAUAGUGAAAUCGCCGCGAGAUUCAGGGUAUUUACUCUGUUCAUUCAACACGAACCUAGUAAUAGUCAUUAAAUCAGUCCGAUGAGCAUCUGCUGCGUGAUCCAUCGCUCUGCUUUCUUCUCCAAAACUCUUCAAUAACAGUUAUACAUCAAAUUAUAAAAUUGGGGAAAAAAUUGGGUGGCACGCAAUUUCAUGUUUACACCAGUAGCCCGCAAUUCGAGGCUCCUAUUUAGUUGACAGAUUCGAGUUUGACAUCAUUUGUUAAAAAAAUAAAAAAUUAAACUAAAUAAGUAAAUAUCUUUUUAAAAUGUUUAUAAAUAAUAGUAUUAAAAGUUUCUCCAAUCAAACAAAUAAAAUAAGUAUGUGUAAUUUUUUAAUUAACGUGAUAGAUAAAUAAUAAAUAGGGAUAUGAGAUAUGUGAUAUGACACGUGGAGAGAUAAGCGAGAGCUCAAGGUGGCCAAUGGUUAGCAGAAGAUAAUGUAUUCUCUCUUCGAUUUAAAAAAAAAGAAGAAGUUUAUACUGAGUUUUUUUACUUAAAAGAAAGUCAAUUCUAAACUAAAUUAACAUCAGAUGUACUAAAUUAUUUUUAAAUUCUUAACUUUAAAACAUGUAAUAUGAAAAGCUAAAUUAUAAUAUUAUCAAGAAUAAAAUAUAUAUUUUUUUAAAUAAUCAUUAAUUUACAUUUAAAAUUUUCAUGUUUAAAAUUUUUAAAUUACAUAUAUAUAUAUAUAUAAUAGAUUUCACCUUUUAGAUCGAGCUGAUCUCAAUAAACUUAUGGAAUAUGACUCUUUGUCAAUAUUUUGAUGUAACACUCGUAUGCUUUCGGGGGCUUUUCUGUUUGAUGUUGUAUCACUUUGACUUUUUCCAUAGCUCAUGAACAAGAUCGGGCCGAAAUAAGGCAGUUUCACAUGUUUCGAACCAGUCAAUUGAUGAUCUACAUUUCUGAUCAUAUAAAGCUUCAUAAUGUGUCAUUUUAAUACUCGAAUAGUAGCUAUUGUGAUAAACAAAUUUAAUAACUGGUAGGCCAGCUACCUUUGAAAUCUAAUAUACAAGCUCGCAGCAUAUUCUGUUUGAAUUGUACGUUCUGCCUGGCCAUCCGUUUGAGGGUGAAAGGGCUGUACUUAUAUUCACUUGUGUUCCCAAACUCUUCUGAAACAAUUUGCAGUGAAUUGAGCUCCUCUAUCAGAUAUUAUAGAAAUUAACACUUCAUGUAGUCGCACUAUCUCUAUAACGUACAACCUUGCAUGCUCUUCAGUUGUAUAAGUAGUCUUCACCGGCAAGAAGUGAUAAUGCGAAAAAAAACACAUCUUGCUUUGUUAACUUUUGAGUUUUGAGGUUGUAUUUUGUUAAAGGGGGUGUUUCUUGUUGUUGUAAACUAAAUUAUGAAAUUGAUUACUUUAUUGAAUUACAGAAGGAAAAAAUGGAAAACCCUAGAUCUUGAUUUGGCAUUGCAUUGAAUAAUCAGAUUCAAAAGACAGAACAAUGAGCACCAUUUGAUAUUCUGGCGAUGUGAUUCAUGGAAUGUACAAUCUGUUUGUUUAGAAUGAAGACUAGUUAAAAGGAAUAAUAAUGGCAAGAUUCGAUUGUUUUGUAAGAAUAUUUGGGUACAACAACGUCAUUUUUAAAAGGUAAGUCUGUGUUAUAAUUUGAUUAUAUGCACCAAUGUUGGCAUAUGCUGAUACAUUAUGUGACUAAAUUUCAAUUAUUCGUGAAAACAAGAGAGUUUUGAUUUUCAUUUCCUAAGUUUUUUCCAUACAUUUAAAGCAAAAAACCCCACUGAACCAACUCUGGUUACUAUAUUUUAAGCCCUUUCACCUCUAAUACGUCUAGCUAAUUGCAUAUCCUUAGGCAUAAUCGUAACUCUUUUAGCAUGAAUUGCACACAAAUUAGUAUCUUCAAAGAGGCCCACCAAAUACGCCUCAGCCGCUUCCUGAAGAGCAGCUACAGCACUACUCUGGAAUCUCAAAUCCGUCUUGAAAUCCUGUGCAAUUUCUCUAACCAGUCUCUGAAAAGGUAGCUUCCUAAUCAAUAACUCAGUACUCUUUUGGUACUUACGGAUCUCACGAAGAGCAACAGUUCCUGGACGGAAUCGGUGAGGCUUCUUCACUCCUCCGGUAGCUGGUGCUGAUUUCCUUGCAGCUUUGGUGGCUAAUUGCUUCCUCGGUGCCUUUCCUCCGGUGGAUUUUCUCGCUGUUUGCUUUGUCCUCGCCAUUGGUGCUAACUUGCUAGAAAGUGAAAAUACAGAGAAUAUGAAUGAAUAAAGAGAAGUGUAUAUAUAGAGAGUAAUUUGAAAAUUUUGUUUUGGGGACGAAAAUUUGAAAUUUUUGUAUGAAGUUUUGGCGCGGGAUAAAUCUGGACCGUGCGAUUUCAAGGGACGGUAAUGAUUAGGUCUUAGAGAGAUGACACGGAUCGCUAUCCAUGUGCUUUUGUUAAAAGGUCUUCACUAAGGCUUGCAUUGAGGGGCAAUUAUGUCAUUGGCCGACAAGAGUUAUUUGUGUGUUAAUUUUUGUAUGGUUUAUACGACAUUUGGUUGAUAAUUUAGAAAUUUGCAUAACUAAUAUAUGUAUAAAUUAUUAUGGAAUUCGUAUAUUAUUUUAUAUGGAAUAAGUAAUAUAUUAGUGAAAAUAAUACAUGGAUUUUCUCAUAACUAACUAAUGCAUGCAUAACUAGCUGGUAAGAGUUAUGUUAAGAUUAGUUAUUAGUGAAUUUGUGUAAUAUUUUAUGAAGCUUAGUUACGUAUAUUGUUUAUUUUCAAUUUCUAUUCUACAUAAAAUUAUAUUGUACAUAGAUUUAAUCGUAACUUAUGUUUUUAUAUUGUAAAUCAAACAUCAUAUUGAUUAUAUACAUGAAUAACUUACAUCCUAAUCAACUAUCAAAUAUGGUAUAACUUAUGCACGAUUUAACACACACACACAGAUAUAUAUUAAGGAGUAAAACGUUAUUGUGAGUAACGUAUAUCAAUCUGACGCCAUCAACCUUUUAAAAAAUAAAAUAUACCCUAAAACAUUAUCGUGGAAUACUUUUAUACUAGUUUUAUAAAAUUUUAGAAAAACAUAUUAUUCUGAUAAAUUGAUUUAUAUAAUGGCUUAGUUUGGUCAAAACCUCAUUUAUCUUGGUAUAGAAAUUACUAAAGCCUUUCACCAAAGUGAUAUUGCUUAGAUGCAAACUUUGCAAAUUUAUGUUCAUAUAUAUACACUAUUUUUGAAAAUUUUGAGAACAUCAUUUUUUUAAAAAAAUCGACCAACUUAAAUAUAAUUAUCAUAUAAUCAUGGACACACAUAGUUCCUUAAGCAAAUAGUGCAAUACAUGCAUGUCGAGCAAAAAUCACAACAACUAAAGUUUUUUUUUUUCUCCUCCUUGUUAAGAUUACAUAAUUGAUGAGACAAGAUUACAACAACGUAGAAACUACAUAAAAAAGUACACGUACGAUUGAUGAUGAUAAACCUGACUAAAUAAAGCUCAGUCAACUUAAAACCCUAAUAAGCAUCAAACUAGUACAUACUGAAUAUAUUGUUAUCGUCGUACGUAACGUAUACUUACAUAUUUAAGCAAAAUUAAUAAGCUAAGGCAAUUGAUUUCCUCUCAGGAAAUUGCACUUGAUAAUUAUUGCUACUAAAAACUCUUUCCUCAGUAGAAGAAACAGGAUUCACUUGAACAAUAUUAGAAUGUGGAUAAUAUCUAUAAACACAAGUUUGUAUUGGUUCUUCUUGAGAUGAUGAUGCAACCCUUUGUGGACUAGAAGAAGAAGAUGAUGAUCUUCUUUUUCUACCUUCCAAAAAGGAAAGUCCAAGAUCUCUACUUAAAGUUUUCACAAAUUCUAUUUGAGGUGCCAUAUAUAUAUAUUGUAGAAAUUCAAGAAAUGAGUUGUUUUCUAUUGUAUAGAGAUUAGAGACUCUAUA